UUGUUACUUAUUUUGCAUGUAAAUGGGAUUCUUUCAUUUGUAUUUCAUUUGUCUUCGAUUAAAACUACGUGAUAAGAUUGUCAUGAUUGAUUGUAUGUAACGUGAGUGGAGCCCGGAAUUUGGUAAAUUGCUAUUAAAGUUAUGAUUCCACAGCAAUUAAAGAGGUCAUUUACAUAUUGUGUCAAAAUAAAAGCUCUUCUAAAGAGUCGACUUUGUGAUAAAAGUUUCACUUGAUAGUUAAUUUGUUCUUUCAUUUAUUCAAUCUUCU
rnacentral:lncRNA from 1 species